rnacentral:rRNA from 1 species
AGCGAACGCUGGCGGCAGGCCUAACACAUGCAAGUCGAACGAACUCUUCGGAGUUAGUGGCGGACGGGUGAGUAACACGUGGGAACGUGCCUUCUGGUUCGGAAUAACUCAGGGAAUCUUGUGCUAAUACCGAAUGUGCCCUUCGGGGGAAAGAUUUAUCGCCGUUAGAGCGGCCCGCGUCUGAUUAGCUAGUUGGUGAGGUAACGGAUCACCCAGGCGACGAUCAGUAGCUGGUCUGAGAGGAUGACCAGCCACACUGGGACAGAGACGCGGCCCAGACUGCUACGGGAGGCAGCAGUGGGGAAUCUUGCGCAACGGGCGAAAGCCUGACGCAGCCAUGCCGCAUGAAUGAUGAAGGUCUUAGGAUUGUAAAAUUCUUUAACGGGGGACGAUAAUGACGGUACCCGGAGAAGAAGCCCCGGCUAACUUCGUG